rnacentral:lncRNA from 10 species
GUUCUAGUUAGGUGAAAACAUAGCUCUCUAGUAGUUUGCUGCACAUUUCCUGUGAAAGUGAAGAUUCUCCUUUCUUAAUGAAGAGCAGCUCAUAUAUGAUGACAAAACAGAGGCAAGAGAGCAUAUGUUGGAGAACCUGGCGUUCUAUGUCAUGAGAGAAUGAACCAGAAUGGGGCAUAUGCUUCUAACCUGAAGACAAGACUGCAGAAUUGACUAUAUACACAGUCCUGUGUCACUUAAAGACAGGGAUACAUUCUGAGAAAUGCAUCAUGAGGCAGUUUCAUCAUUGUGCGAAUAUCAUGGAGUGUCCUUACACAAAGCUAGACGGUAUACACCUACUACAUACCUAGCCUCUAUGGUAUAGCCUGUUGAUCCUAGGUUACAAACCUGUACAGCAUGUUACUGUAUUCAAUACUGUAAGCAUUUAUGACACAAUGGUAAGUAUUUGUGUAUCUAAAGAUAUCUCAAGAUAGAAAAGGCACAGUAAAAAUACGGUAUUAUAAUCUUAUGGGACCACCAUUUUACAUUCAGUCCAUUAUUGACCAAAGCAUCAUUAUGCAGUACAUGACUGUAUUUGUGUAAGGAAAUUUAAAAAUAAAAAGGUAUGUUUGGAAACAGAUUAAAAGAGGGAUCAUAAAGUGCUGAAAGGACUCCUGUUUGAACCCUGAAAUUUCUCUAGCACUGUUCCUAAACUUUUGGGGUCACUGGCCAGUUAAUAACUGUAGAAAAACCAGAGAGCAUGUACCUUCUAAAUGUACCUACACAUGAAAUUAUGCAUACAAUUUUGGGGAUUCACAGAAAAGUCCUUAAAGGUCUAUCCAUGUGAUUGCUCUCAAUAUGUAUGAGAACACCUGGCCUGAGUGAAAAUUCUCCAUCAGGAGGCUUCUCCCCAUGGCGAACAUGGAGUUAGAGGUUGAAGGCUGAGGAGGAGUUUUGUAGGUAGAAAAGAGAGAAAGAGGCCAGGCGCAGUGGCUCAUGCCUGUAAUCCCAGUACUUUGGGAGGCCAAAGUGGGCAGAUCACUUAAGGUCAGGAGUUCGAGACCAGCCCAGCCAAUAUGGUGAAACCCCGUCUCUACUAAAAAUACAAAAAUUAUCUGGGCAUGGUGGCACAUGCCUGUAGUCCCAGCUAUUCAGGAGGAUGAGGCACAAAAAUUGCUUGAACCCGGGAGGCGGAGGUUGCAGUGAGCCGAGAUUGCACCACUGCACUCCAGCCUGAGUGACAAGAGUGAGACUUGGUCUCAAAAAA